GACGAACGCUGGCGGCGUGCUUAACACAUGCAAGUCGAACGGAAAGGCCUGCUUUCCCUUGUGGAUUGCGGGUACUCGAGUGGCGAACGGGUGAGUAACACGUGAGUGAUCUGCCCCCAACUUGGGUAUAAGCCUGGGAAACUGGGUCUAAUUCCCGAUAGGACUGCAGGGUGGUGCCUGUGGUGGAAAACGAUUUUCUAGUGGUUGGGGAUGAGCUCGCGGCCUAUCAGCUUGUUGGUGGGGUAAUGGCCUACCAAGGCGGCGACGGGUAGCCGGCCUGAGAGGGUGGACGGCCACAUUGGGACUGAGAUACGGCCCAGACUCCUGCGGGAGGCAGCAGUGGGGAAUAUUGCACAAUGGGCGGAAGCCUGAUGCAGCGACGCCGCGUGGAGGAUGACGGCCUUCGGGUUGUAAACUCCUUUCGACCGCGAGGAAGCCACCUGGUUGGAAGGGUGGUGACGGUAGUGGUAGAAGAAGCACCGGCUAACUACGUG
rnacentral:rRNA from 1 species